rnacentral:misc_RNA from 1 species
AAAGUGCGAUACGUCGUGCUCAGUGCCCGAAAUUAUGGGCGCGGAAUCUUCGAAUACACAUGGUGCUGCAUGGUGCAUGCGCCAGCAGCGCAUCUGCUUCAGGGUUGUGAACAAAAACAGGGUGUCUCGUCCGCGCUCGUCCCACGUGCCGUCUGGAAGAUCGUGCUCUACCCGAAUGGCAACCUGACCACUUAGUUAGUGAUUGGGUCUAUUGUGCAGUCAGCUCGAUUGUGGACUUCCAUUCCUUAGCUUGAGCCUGCUCUUGCUUUGUUUGGAUUGUCCUUGAAAGAGAAACAACCUGAAGUCAGGUGUGGCAACCCGCUGAACUUAA